rnacentral:misc_RNA from 1 species
AAGUCGUAACAAGGUUUCCGUAGGUGAACCUGCGGAAGGAUCACUAAAGAGAACUUGCCCUCCGGGGUAGAUCUCCCACCCUUUGUUUAUUCUACCCUGUUGCUUUGGCGGGCCUGCCCCCGCGGCUCCCGGCGUCAGCUGGGUCGCGCCCGCCAGAGACCCCUAAAUUCUGAAAUACUGUCGUCUGAGUAAUAUAUAAUAAGUUAAAACUUUCAACAACGGAUCUCUUGGUUCUG